AACGAACGCUGGCGGCAGGCCUAACACAUGCAAGUCGAACGAUGAAGUGGACUUCGGUCCAUGGAAGAGUGGCGGACGGGUGAGUAACGCGUGGGAACGUGCCCUUGGGUAUGGAACAACUACUGGAAACGGUGGCUAAUACCAUAUGAUGUCUUCGGACCAAAGAUUUAUCGCCCAAGGAUCGGCCCGCGUUGGAUUAGUUAGUUGGUGAGGUAAUGGCUCACCAAGGCGACGAUCCAUAGCUGGUCUGAGAGGAUGAUCAGCCACACUGGGACUGAGACACGGCCCAG
rnacentral:rRNA from 1 species